AUGACCUACGGGACGCAGCAGUGGGGAAUAUUGCACAAUGGGCGAAAGCCUGAUGCAGCAACGCCGCGUGAACGAAGAAGGCUCUUGGGUCGUAAACUUCUGUUCUGAGGGAAGAAGAAAGUGACGGUACCUCAGGAGGAAGCUCCGGCUAACUAUGUGCCAGCAGCCGCGGUAAUACAUAGGGAGCAAGCGUUAUCCGGAAUUAUUGGGUGUAAAGGGUGCGUAGACGGGAAAUUAAGUUAGUUGUGAAAUCCCUUGGCUUAACUGAGGAACUGCAACUAAAACUGAUUUUCUUGAGUACUGGA
rnacentral:rRNA from 1 species